rnacentral:rRNA from 1 species
GAUGAACGCUAGCUACAGGCUUAACACAUGCAAGUCGAGGGGUAACGAGAGGAAAGCUUGCUUUCCUUGUCGACGACCGGCGCACGGGUGAGUAACGCGUAUCCAACCUGCCCCCAACUAGGGAAUAACCUUGCGAAAGUAAGACUAAUACCCUAUAAUUUCCUCAGAUGUCAUCUGACGAGGAAUAAAGAUUUAUCGGUUGUGGAUGGGGAUGCGUCUGAUUAGCUUGUUGGCGGGGUAACGGCCCACCAAGGCAACGAUCAGUAGGGGUUCUGAGAGGAAGGGCCCCCGCAUGGGAACUGAGACACGGUCCAAACUCCUACGGGAGGCAGCAGUGAGGAAUAUUGGUCAAUGGGCGGAAGCGUGAACCAGCCAAGUAGCGUGCAGGAUGACGGCCCUAUGGGUUGUAAACUGCUUUUAUACAGGAAUAAAGUUAGCCACGUGUGGUUAUUUGUAGGUACUGUAUGAAUAAGGACCGGCUAAUUCCGUGCCAGCCGCCGCGGUAA